GAAAAUGAGAUCUGAGGACAGGAAAGUGGAAUUGAUUUCAUGCUUAGCAAAAUGAGGGUUUCAGCAGAGGACGUUUUUGUGGCGAGGCUACGGAAUCAGAAGGAAAGUUUGUCUGGGCAACUGGGAGAUUUACAGUUUUUCAUGCAGCAAACCAAGACAUUGGGGUUAGCAUCAUCCCAAAUGGCUGGCAAAGAUUGCUUGUAACUGUCAGUGUAGGACAGGAAAGGCAGGUAUAGGUUAGGGAGGGCAUCCAUCGGUGAGCUCUGACUGGAUCUGAGGACCUGUCACACUUGACCAGAGAUGAAGGCUGCAGCACAUUCCUGGAUCAGAGGACUCCAUGUUGGACACCACGAAAUGGAGAAGUCCCGUCCUGGAUGGCUGCGGUGAUGACCUAGCCCAAGAUGAACUGACCCUUCUACGACGAGGACUUUGCCCAAGAUGAACCGACCCUUCUACGACGAGGACUUCGCCCAAGAUGAACCGACCCUUCUACGACGAGGACUUCGCCCAAGAUGAACCGACCUUUUCCAGGGGAUGUCUUCAGAUGUUGGACCUUGCCAAACUGUACACAUGCCUCAAUGGCUGCUACGUCACUCUGCCCAACAGGACAUGGUCACCGAGAUUUAAAUUUUUUUUUUUUUAAAUGGACUUGAACCCCCGUUGUCCACACUGACCCACCACCACACAUGACAAAACACUGUACAUGUGAUGCACCACACUAAAAUACAGACACUGCUACUUUCAGCCUGUUUCAGUCUGUAAAAAAUCGCUAGCCCUCUGCAUGACCCAACAGCAUGGAUGUUUGAGUUCUUUAAUUGCUCAAUUUUUAAAUCAGUCAAGAUUUUAUGAGCUGGGUCUUCUUCACACAACAGAGAACAAGGUAAAUUGAGUCGACUCGUAACAUGGUAAGGCAUUUCGUCCUUCCCCUUCUUCUAUGUGUGUGUGAGGAAAUCUGGCCACAGAUCCUGACUGAGUAGCAUACCAUGGCUGUGCAGUUUCCAAAAUCAGACAAGGAUCCAUCUGAUUUUGUGACUCGGCUUGUCAUGAUAUGCAUGUAUCUUCCUCUGAAACAAAGGAUUGAAAUGGACAGGUUUGUAGUGUAAAUCACAUCACUUGUAGAUGGUGAUGAUGUACAGACACUGCUACUUUCAGCCUGUAAUGUUAGACAUUGAAAACUUGUAUUUAUUGCCUUCUUUAUAUCAAGUAAAACUUUUGUUCUUAACUUUAUGGUUGACUUGUAUUUUUUUAUAUUUCUGUGAUGAGUGUUAUUUUGACAAGUUAGUACUUUGAACUUUAAACUCAAACCCUAUAUAGAUUUGUACAAGGUUUUAAAGGGAAUAUAAUAAAUUGGACUCUAAAGCAGGGAAUGCUACAGUGGAUGGUGAUGCUGCUACUUGCCCUCAUCUCACAACUUCCUUACUUCUAGCCACUGACACUAAAUAUGGCUAAUGCAUAAAAAUAUGCCACUGAACAUUAGACUACUUUUCUUUAACAUGCCUUUUUUUUACCUACAGAUGUUUACUAUUUUAUUUCAUCUGCUUUUAAUUCUGUCUUUACCAUUUUACGCUUAAAGGUUUUAUUUUUCUACUAUGGAAAGCACUUUGUAGAGUUGUUUUGAAAAGUGCUAUUCAAAUAGUUUUUUGAACAGUGUUGCAGUACCAUUAACACCAGCAGCAAUAUGAGCAGCCACACAUGCAAUGCUAAUAUGUCUGACUGUCUCAGCCUCAGGUAGGUGAUGUGAUGAAUCACAGCCAGAUAACGCUCCACACAUUAGUGCAGGAAAAUAUUCAGCAGUUAAAUAAAACACCAAAGUGUGAGGCACAGAUGUACAAGAUGUUUCCCAAAGUAAAGAUCAGACUUGGGACAACCGAGCGGUAGACAAAGAAGUAAGAAGAAGCAAGCUGCAAACACUGGUGACCUAAGAUGGAGAGAGGCGUGAGGAGACGAUUCUUCCAGUCUCAGCAUCCAGUGCAUCAUGAAUUCGACAGGAAGACCGACAUUUUGGUUGUGUGAUGAUGCUUUUGUGGAGAAGGGGGCUAAUUUUUUUGAUUUUUUUCCUUGGACCAGAAAAUGAUGAAAAAUGUUGAUCAUUGUUUCUCAAACCUGGAAGUGAUGUUCUCAAAUGUCUUGUUUUGUCCACAAAAUGAAUUGGUUUUAAUGAUUUGUGUUAUAUGGAACAAAGAAAUUUAAAGCAGUUUUUGAAAUUGAAUAUUUUCAUACAGACUUCUUCAGGGCCGAAGUAUCAUCAAUCCUAGCAAGUUUGGUUCAGAUAGGACCUUGAUUCGCGAAGUUGUAGCAGUUUGUUUUUUUGUCGCAAAAAUCCAACUUUGCUCCAUUGCCAUGGCAACGCUGUUAUACGAUUUGCCAUCAAAUUCAGCAUGCAUCAUCUACCAUGUUAUGAGUGUUUUCACCAACUUUGAGUUGUAUACGAUAAUCUCUAAAAGUUAUUUCCGAAAUCGUAAAGUAACUUUUUUGGUUUAUUUUCUGCCACCACCAGGAGGCGAUGUUUUCAAACUUGACAGUUUUUACAUAGAUGUCUUCAGCACUGGCCCAUCAUCUAUCAU